ACCGAGGUAUCGACGUAGUGGUCUGCCGUAAGGCAAAUGCAAAACAAGAUGAGCGUGUAAUCACAAACAAAAGAAUAUAUUUAAAUAUGUUAAGAGCAUACAAGUGAUGUCACUCUGCCAUCAGCCAACGCAUUUGGGUGCAUGUUUAUAAAAAAGGACCUAUUACGCAGCACUUGGGAACGUGCCUAUCAAUUGUUAACUAGAAUUCAUUCACAUUCUUGGCAAUACAGCUCAGACUUAUUGUAGGGCCGAAAUUCUCUUUCGAAUAAGUGAUUUCAUUGUGGGAUGAUGGAUGAGGGCAGACUUCAUAUCAUCUGCAGAUAUAUGCACUUUCUUUUGGACUACCCUGGUAACUUGAUGUCACGGCUACAACGCCCACACCCGUCUUCCUAUCGUCUGCAAAACAACCGGAUUUGCACUUGGCUGCAUGUCCUGCGUGCGCCCCCACGCCUCACAGCAGGCUCCUUUUACGGCAUUCUGCUUACAGGACAAAGUCCCUUUGGUUUCAGGAAUGGACUGACGCCCAGCCCAACGUGGCUACACUAAAGGACAAAGAAAAACGGUGAAAAUGGGACCAAGAGAAAAUGCAACAAGCCCGUUUCCAGAGGAAAACGCCAAGGCAGACUUACCCGACAUGCUGGCUGGGUGGAGGAAAAGGCUCCUGGAACAACUCCUAUGAGAUUCUCCAACGUCCCUUUUCUGCUUCAUUAAAUGGCCAAGAACCAAUAUCUUGCAAAAAUUGAAAAAGAUCGCACCACAAAAGUGUCAAAACAGCGUGAGAGCAUGCAACAAUAGUGUUAUAUACCUGGGGAUAUAUUAGUUUGUGAUUUUCUCCCUCCAUGCCUACUAUUUAAAACCCCUAGAACUCAAUGAUUUGACAAUGAUUUGAUUGCGCGUUACUUUCAAUUUGAAUAUUCAGAGGCAACUCAAAAAUAUCGAUUUUUCACUGCAAUUCAUCAUUUAUACACACUAAAUAAGUCCCACUUUAAUAGAUUAUAAUAGUAUUUUAUAUUUAAAAGAAAAUAAAUUGAUGUUUUAUACAUUUAAUGGCCCUUUUUGUAUUUCCGACCAUCCACACCCCCUGUCCAAUGCGCAUUGAGAGCCCACUCAUGCCUUUGGGACUACAAUCUUACGUUUAUUAAGACCAUUCAACACUCCAACAAUGUUUUGCAAUAAAUGUUUUAACACAAAAUUUAAUAACAAUUGAUUAAGUUGUAAAUUGGUGGGCGUGGCAAGGGGCAGCAGCCAUCUUGGGCAUCGCAGGCUUCAGGCUCACACGACAAGUGCUUCACUCUCACACACACGCGGGCUGGGGCCUCUCCAGGCUGCUCUUUGUUAUACUUUAUGUUAGAUACACUUCACAUCAGUCAAAUUGUAUCUGCUUGGAUCAGAUAACUAGCCUAAUGAUAAUUAAUGGUUUCCUAGAAUAUUUAACAUCCAAGAAUUUCUUCGCAAACAUUUAGAAAUACGUUUAGUAGCCUAAUAUAGAUAUUUAAUUAUGUUCGUUAAAUGAACGUUUUUCACUCGUUUUGCGUUAAUUACACUCAAUAUUUAUUUCGUUAUCUUACCACUGAGAAGGACGUCCAGUAGCCUGUAGGGACUGUUCUCUCUACCCGUGUCCGGUAUGGACAUACUGUCAUUUCUUCUUAGGCCUAAAAAAAGCCUUUACUAAGAUAUAAAAGGCCUUGAAAGGCCUUUGAUAAGAUAUAAAAGGUCUAUUAUAAUUUGGCUACAGUUUUGCUACAAUAAAAAAUGCACCGCUUGGGAUUAAGAUUUGUUCAAUUAGUUUGAGAUGAAUAAUAAUGUAUUUUCUCAAAGAACGUUGAUCUGUAAUACAUUAAUUAUAAUGAACUUUGGACACAUAAAAAGCACAAGUCCUUUGAGUGAUUUAUCUUUCAUUUCACGAAAAAAAA